UGUGUGCACCUGGGGGAGCUGCCCCACCCCCUGCCUGGUGUGGGGCUCAGUGGGAGCUGUUUAUCUUGUAAGGCCCCUGUCACCUGGUGGCCCUGCCCCUCCAAGGCGCAUGGUGACACCAGGAGGAACAAUCCCACUGGCAGGGGCCAGCUCUCCAGCCCUGGAAUGAGCUCCUGCAAUAACUAUCACAGCUCCCAGUCCGCAGGGGCCUGGAUACCCCAGGGGCAGGGGGCAUCCGGAGGUCCAAUUCGUUGGUUUUCAGGAUGAUUUGAAAGUUAUCUAGUUUACCCAGACUUAUAGAUUGUGUCCUUCCAGGAUCCAGACUGAGAGCUUGUGAUGCUUAACCCAUUGUUAGCUAGUUUUGUUUACCUGGUACCACAGAAUUCCAUAGUUACAUAAAUCAGCAGGGGAAGCACUGGGGAAGACAACCAUUGAGUGGCUGCACCAGUUUGUAUUUCUACCAGUAGUGCAAGAGGGUUCUCCUUAAUAGGAAUCUUUGAAAAUGGAGAUAAAUGGAAGGUUACUUAAAAUGCUCAAAUAUAAAAAGGAUGCUGCUAUUAUUUCAAUUUGGAUAUUCUGUGCUCAAAUCUAUUCUUGGGACUAUAUGAUGUUGGGGCUGGCACUCUGAACAUUGGAUUUCUCCUUUCCCUCUUGUCUACCUGCCCAUCAGAGAUUGGAAGGCAAGUUUCAGAUACCCAUGAUCUGGAAGAAGAUGAUUCUCCUUCUGAUGUAUGUAGUCAGAAGGUCUACAGCAGCCUAACAUCACGAUACCUGCACCAUUCAUCUCAUGUCAUCCCAUCACAUAGGAGUUUUAUCAUCUCACAUCACCACAAGAAGAGAUACCAUAAGAUAUUGAGAGAGAGAGAGAGAGAGAGAGAGAGAGGGCACAUUCACAUAAUUUUUAUUAUAGUGUAUUGUUAUGAUUUUCUGUUUUAUAGAUAGUUGUUAAUCUACUGUGCCUAAUUUAUAAAUUAAACAUUAUCAUAGGUAUGUAUAUGUAGGAAAAACAUACAAAGAUACAGAGUUCAGUACUAUCCACAGUUUCAGCCAUCCACUGGAGGUUUUGGAAUGUAUGUCCAGUAUAUAAGGGAGGAGUACUGUAUUUCUUAAGCAUACCUUUAAAUUAUUUUUGUGGGGUGGCCCUUGACAGUUCAUCAUUUGAAACUAAUGUCAUCAUUUUACCAACGAAACAUCUAACACUUCUAUGAUACUUAGCUCUGUGAACUUGUACCUACUAUCCCUCGCAGUUGAAAGUGGAAUUAAUUUUAAUAUCCAUUAUAAAGUUUUUCCUCAGAGCUCAUGAGAUAUAAAGGGCAGAUUUUUCUAUCAAUCCCAUCUUUCAAUUUUGUACAUUUCUACUAUGAUUAUGAUUAUAGAAUCUUCUACAAAGAAUAAAAUAAUAUUAAACCUUCCUAAUGAAAUUUGAAAAAUUAACAAUGUCAUAAAAACCCUCACUGCAGGCACAGUAUUUGUUUUUCCCAAUUAUUCUUACAUGCUUUUCACCAUAGCCUAAUCCUAAAACAUAUUUUUAGUAAAAUGUAUUUUUUCUACUAUGAACUUAAGUUAAAAAAUGCAUUUAAUAAGACUAAUUAAAUACAUCAAAAUGUUAGUGACAACUUUUCUUUCUUGUUGAUAUUUUUGGCCUUUUCUCUUUCCUGUUUUCCAUGUUCUCUAUAAUAAAUAUGCAUUACUGUUAUUAUCAUGAAAAUUCAAUUAGUUAAAAUGAAUCUAUCUCAUCACUAUAAUGCUCAACUUGAAUAAUUGAAUAAACUUGAAUAAUCUUCUGUUCCUUUCUAUUUUAAGCUUAUUAUUAUUAUUUUUUUCUCCUUAGAAAAGUUAUAUUCUACUAAUCUCUCACUUGGUGGCCUCUGAGAUACAGAUGAUGAGUGAAUACAACAUGUCAGGAUUUUAUGAGGGUGAUUGCCUGUCCAAAAGAAAAAUAGGAUAGAUAGUGGCAGUGAAGGCUGAGACAGCUCUCAGACCUCAAAGCAAAUCCAGCCCCAAGAGAAGGAACAGAGAGAAAAGGUUGGGUGUAAACAUCCUAGAAUGCUGAGCACUCUACAAAAGAUUUAGAAAAGCCACCAGGAAUCCCUUAAACAAGGGAAGACAAGGCAGACAAAGGCUUCAUGUUUCUUCCACGUACAGGUACAUUUAAUAUCCCUUCCACACUGAGUCAUUGGUGAAGAUAGCCUAUGGGAGAUUUGUAUUCUGCAAAAACAUUGGUAUGGAUAUAAAAAUACAGCAGCUUUGUUCAUUUUAUAUUCUGUAGUGAGUCUGAAGUUGUCAUUAUCAUGGUCACCAUAUGCCCAACAUAGUUCCUUUCUCUAAAUCUAGGUCAUUUUUAACUCAGAUUUGGCUGACCCUUUCUAUAGGUCUUUAUUAUGAUUUUUUUUUUCCUGCUGGUGUAAAUGGCCUACAUUCUUUGUUUUAUUCAAAUAAAAAUUUUAUUUUUUUGUUUUAUUCAAUAAAAAUUUGGCCUUGUAGGCCAAAUUCCAGAUCCUUUGCCUUGUAUUUUCACCUGAUAUAAUGGCUAACAUUGUUCAUCAU